UUCUCUAACCUGAUUGGUGUCUCCUAGGUGAUACCCGUCCCACCCUGACAAUGCUGCCCCCCUCCAGUGAAGAGCUGCAGCAGGGGAAGGCCACCCUCAUGUGUCUGGCCAACAAGGGCUUCCCCUCAGACUGGAGUUUGUCCUGGAAGGUGGACGGCAGCAGCAGCAGCAGCAGCAGCUGGGAGCAGAGCAGGAGCCCCGGGGUGCUGCAGAAGGACGGCCUCUACAGCUGGAGCAGCACCCUGAGGCUCCCUGCAGACCAGUGGAGGAAGGUGGGCUCUGUGACCUGUGAGGCCACCCAGGGCUCCCAGACUGCAGUCACAGAGUCCCUGAGGAAAGACCAGUGUUCCCAGUCCUGACCUGACUCUCUGAGACUGAUAUUGUCUUUAAUCUGUGACUGCUCUCACUCUUUCUCUCCUGAUUAUUCUCUAUUUUCAUUGAGUCAUGUUUGCUUUGUCAUGUUGGUCAUUAUUCAAAUAAUAAAUAUUUACUCAUCAA